AGAGUUUGAUCCUGGCUCAGGACGAACGCUGGCGGCGUGCUUAACACAUGCAAGUCGAGCGCGGGGCUUCGGCUCCGAGCGGCGAACGGGUGAGUAACACGUGAGCAACCUGCCCUUGGCUCUGGGAUAGCCUCCGGAAACGGGGAUUAAUACCGGACAUGACCUGCUCCUGCAUGGGGGCGGGUGGAAAGUUUUUUCGGCCAGGGAUGGGCUCGCGGCCUAUCAGCUUGUUGGGGGGGUGACGGCCCACCAAGGCGACGACGGGUAGCCGGCCUGAGAGGGCGACCGGCCACACUGGGACUGAGACACGGCCCAGACUCCUACGGGAGGCAGCAGUGGGGAAUAUUGCGCAAUGGGCGGAAGCCUGACGCAGCGACGCCGCGUGGGGGAUGAAGGCCUUCGGGUUGUAAACCCCUUUCACCAGGAGCGAAGCGGGAGUGACGGUACCUGGGGAAGAAGCGCCGGCUAACUACGUGCCAGCAGCCGCGGUAAUACGUAGGGCGCGAGCGUUGUCCGGAAUUAUUGGGCGUAAAGAGCUCGUAGGCGGCCUGUCGCGUCUGCUGUGAAAUCCCGGGGCUUAACCCCGGGCGUGCAGUGGAUACGGGCUGGCUGGAGGCAGGCAGGGGAGAACGGAAUUCCCGGUGUAGCGGUGAAAUGCGCAGAUAUCGGGAGGAACACCGGUGGCGAAGGCGGUUCUCUGGGCCUGUUCUGACGCUGAGGAGCGAAAGCGUGGGAGCGAACAGGAUUAGAUACCCUAGUAGUCC
rnacentral:rRNA from 1 species